GAUGAACGCUGGCGGCGUGCUUAACACAUGCAAGUCGAACGAAGAUGCCGGAGUGCUUGCACUUUGGCAGACUGAGUGGCGGACGGGUGAGUAACGCGUGGGUAACCUGCCUUAUACAGGGGGAUAACAGUUGGAAACGACUGCUAAUACCGCAUAAGCGCACGGUAUCGCAUGAUACAGUGUGAAAAACUCCGGUGGUAUAAGAUGGACCCGCGUCUGAUUAGCUUGUUGGUGAGGUAACGGCCCACCAAGGCGACGAUCAGUAGCCGGCCUGAGAGGGUGAACGGCCACAUUGGGACUGAGACACGGCCCAAACUCCUACGGGAGGCAGCAGUGGGGAAUAUUGCACAAUGGGGGAAACCCUGAUGCAGCGACGCCGCGUGAGUGAUGAAGUAUUUCGGUAUGUAAAACUCUAUCAGCAGGGAAGAUAAUGACGGUACCUGACUAAGAAGCCCGGCUAACUACGUGCCAGCAGCCG
rnacentral:rRNA from 1 species